ACGAACGCUGGCGGCGUGCUUAACACCUGCAAGUCGAACGCUGAAGCGGUGCUUGCACCGUGGAUUAGUGGCGAACGGGUGAGUAAUACGUGAGUGACCUACCUUUGACUCUGGGAUAAGCCUGGGAAACUGGGUCUAAUACCGGAUACGACCAAUCUCUGCAUGGGGUGUUGGUGGAAAGCGUUAUGGAGUGGUUUUAGAUGGGCUCACGGCCUAUCAGCUUGUUGGUGAGGUAAUGGCUUACCAAGGCGACGACGGGUAGCCGGCCUGAGAGGGUGACCGGCCACACUGGGACUGAGACACGGCCCAGACUCCUACGGGAGGCAGCAGUGGGGAAUAUUGCACAAUGGGCGCAAGCCUGAUGCAGCGACGCCGCGUGAGGGAUGACGGCCUUCGGGUUGUAAACCUCUGUUAGCAUCGAAGAAGCGAAAGUGACGGUAGGUGCAGAGAAAGCGCCGGCUAACUACGUG
rnacentral:rRNA from 1 species